rnacentral:rRNA from 1 species
AUUGAACGCUGGCGGCAGGCCUAACACAUGCAAGUCGAGCGGAGCGGCGGACGGGUGAGUAAUACCCAGGAAUCUGCCUGGUAGUGGGGGAUAACGUUCGGAAACGGACGCUAAUACCGCAUACUCUCAGAUGAGCCUAGGUCGGAUUAGCUAGUUGGUUAGGUAAUGGCUUACCAAGGCGACGAUCCGUAACUGGUCUGAGAGGAUGAUCAGUCACACUGGAAGUGAGACACGGUCCAGACUCCUACGGGAGGCAGCAGUGGGGAAUAUUGGACAAUGGGCGAAAGCCUGAUCCAGCCAUGCCGCGUGUGUGAAGAAGGUCUUCGGAUUGUAAAGCACUUUAAGGUGGGAGGCGUUACCGACAGAAUAAGCACCGGCUAACUCUGUGCCAGCAGCCGCGGUAAUUC